rnacentral:tRNA from 1 species
AGGAGUUGAUGCUAUUGGUUAGGCGUGCUAGCUGUUAACUAGUGUAGUGUGGGAUCGAAGCCCUCUGACUCCU